CCCUCUGCAAAUGUUUGCACCUGUCUUAAGUCAGGAAUCUGAUGUACAGUAGUUGUCGUUUGUUAAUGUAAUUUAUACGUGUUUCUCGUUUCUCUUUUUUUUUUUAUUUAAUAUAGAUUAGACCGUUGGUUUUCCCGUUUGAAUGGUUUUACACUAGUAAUUUUGGGGCCCUUCAUAGCUGGUUGUUUGGUGUGAUCCAAGGCUCUGUGUUGAAGGCCGUACAUUGACCUAUAAUGGU
rnacentral:lncRNA from 1 species